GGGGGGGGGGGGGGGCGGGCGGCGCGCAGGCGGGUCGGGCGGAGGGGCCCUGCUGGGGUGGGGUGCUCGGGGGGCGGACGGGUGGGUAGCACGUGGGUAACCUGCCCUUGCCUUUGGGGUAACUUCAGGAAACUGGGGCUAAUACCGGGUAGGAGCUCCUGCUGCAUGGUGGGGGUUGGAAAGUUUCGGCGGUUGGGGAUGGACUCGCGGCUUAUCAGCUUGUUGGUGGGGUAGUGGCUUACCAAGGCUUUGACGGGUAGCCGGCCUGAGAGGGUGACCGGCCACAUGGGGACUGAGAUACGGCCCAGACUCCUACGGGAGGCAGCAGUGGGGAAUAUGGCACAAUGGGCGGAAGCCUGAUGCAGCAACGCCGCGUGCGGGAUGACGGCCUUCGGGUUGUAAACCGCUUGCGCCUGUGACGAAGCGUGAGUGACGGUAAUGGGUAAAGAAGCACCGGCUAACUACGUG
rnacentral:rRNA from 1 species